AGCGUAUAUUAAAGUUGUUGCAGUUAAAACGUUCGUAGUUGAAUUUGUGUUCCACACGGGCAGUACACCUAAAUCUUGGGCUUGUACAUUGCCUUAAAAUUAAAAAUGUGUGUGAACGUAUUACCGGCUGAAUUUAUAUUUUUAAUAUGAAUUCACAUAUUAUAUGUCCUACUUCAGUGCUCUUAAUCGAGUGCUGUUGUGGGCCGGUACAAUUACUUUGAACAAAUUAGAGUGCUUAAAGCAGGCUUUUAAUGCCUGAAUAUUUGUGCAUGGAAUAAUGGAAGAGGACAUCUGUUCUAUUUUCUAUUGGUUUUUAGAUCAAGAUGUAAUGAUUAAUAGAAGCAGUUGGGGGCAUUAGUAUUACGACGCGAGAGGUGAAAUUCUUGGACCGUCGUAAGACUGACUAAAGCGAAAGCAUUUGCCAAAUAUGUUUUCAUUAAUCAAGAACGAAAGUUAGAGGUUCGAAGGCGAUCAGAUACCGCCCUAGUUCUAACCAUAAACGAUGUCAGCUAGCAAUUGAAUGUAGCUACUACUAUGGCUCUUUCAGACGCUUCUCGGGAAACCAAAGCUUUUGGGCUCCGGGGGAAGUAUGGUUGCAAAGCUGAAACUUAAAGGAAUUGACGGAAGGGCACCACCAGGAGUGGAGCCUGCGGCUUAAUUUGACUCAACACGGGAAAACUUACCAGGUCCGAACAUAAAUAAGUAAGACAGAUUGAUAGCUCUUUCUCGAAUCUAUGGGUGGUGGUGCAUGGCCGUUCUUAGUUCGUGGAGUGAUUUGUCUGGUUAAUUCCGAUAACGAACGAGACUCAAAUAUAUUAAAUAGAUGCAUUCAGGAUUAUGGUGUUGAAGCUUAUAUGCUCGCCUGUUUUCGUUCCUCACGGUGCGUUUGCAGUUGUGUAUGUAUGUAAGUGGAGCCAUACCUGUUUGUUUGUCUAAUUAAAAAUAGACACUAGCUUCUUAAAUGGACAAAUUG
rnacentral:rRNA from 1 species